GAGCGGGGGAGGAGGAGUCGAGUUCCGCUACACAGGCGCGCGUUCGAACAUCAGACAAAUAUUUGGACGUGUGUCUUGUCUUAAACAAUGACUACGUGCAGCUCACAGUUUAUGGAAUAGCCCUUUUUGAACUCGUAUAAGAAGAUAUUAGACUUUGCAAUCACUAUUUUAGUAAUUCUAGAGAUCUUUUGUGUAUAGCUAGACUGUGUCGUCGAGAGAUUUGCCCCAGGCAUUCAAUAAAACCGAAUUCUUUGUGGUGUUGAGCGGUAUCGAGCUGACGCGAUGGAACUUUGUGUAGCUGCAGUGCUUUUGUCGUAUUUCACUCCAGCUUUGGCUUCCCAAAUGGACGAAAUUCAUGGUAAGUGUCUUAUAG